CAGUGCUCAAUGAAAAUAAACAAAGAAUUUCAGUAAAGCUUGUGUACAUUGCCUCUGUUGAAGGAAUAGAAAAAGAAUGGGCUUGGCUUUCUCUUGAAGUCAUUGGCAUGACACCACGUGGCCUUGGUUAAAAGCUGAAGCCGAAAGAGGAGUUUCGAUACACAAAGGGCAGAAUUUGGUUGCUUGAUGGUGACUAUGCCAGCCAAAUGGAAACGGAAGCAGACCAAGAUGAGAUUAGUGUUUGGUGUCAGACGAUGCAAGCCACCCACGAUCCUUCAAAGUGGACGGGAGAUCGUCGCCAACCAACAAUCAAUCAGGGGAUGGCCGUUUCCGAAUCCAAAACCUCCACCAAAAUUAGAUACUGUGAUCUCAAGUUCGGAUUAUUACCUCAUAUGGAUGAUGGACAACGAAAACAUCUCUCCCUCCGACUUUCUAGUUAACAUUAAGCGCUUUCAAUACAUCAGAACCUCAGGCUCUUUUUUAUGUCAACAUUACACGCGCCAUUCCUCGAAAUGUUAUCACCGCUGGACUUCCAAGGAUGUGUGGAUCCUUUUCGACCUUUUUGACCAAAGUGUCGCCAUUUUUGGUCAAAAGUGCCACCUUUGUGGAUCAGAAAGUUCAUUCCUUCAGCCAAAUAAAUACUCCAAAGAGAAAUGGGAGAAAAUCUGCCUCCAAGCUCUUUUAGGUGCCAACAAUGAAGUAACCCAAAGCUCUAACCCGGUCCUGGACGAGGAUGACUUGAAAGAUCUGAACUCACUUUGCUCAAGGAGACCGCAUGUAAUGGCUCUAUGUGAGAAAUGCCACUUGCUUGAAGGUCCUUGUUGGAUUCCGCACAAGUUCUCAGAUUGUCAAAGGUGCCAAAACAGUGCGGCCAAGUGUUGUUUUAACCCUUCCAAGUAUUUACGAAGUGCCUUGAUUAUUUCGGUCCAUAAUUUGACCAAGGCCAAGCCCUCCAAACCCGAAAGAAAGUACUUCACCUUCACCAAUCAACCCAAGAUUAUGACUUGAAGGUCCUGUUCAUUAGACACAUGCAUUUUAUUCGUCUCUUACUUCUUUCCAACCAAUUCGACUCGGCAUUGAGUCAUACUUCUGACGAGGAUACGAGCCCAUUAUGAGGAAUCAGCUGUACUCAGGUUAACUUUUGAGGCGUCUUCUUUGAAUCGCCGGUUCAACAACGACGUGAACAAGGACCAUUGGAUCAACCUUGACCUGAAGACCUUACAAGGACUCGGUUCGUGAUUCAUAUUCUAAUCCGAGAAUGCCACAAGUUGGUUUUUGCCAGAUCAUGGUAGUGUCUCAUUUUGUGAGCUAGUGAUGGAUGGAGUUGGAUUUUAAUCCGCGCCCAACUCUUAAUUGAGCACCCAAGCCCAACGAGGAUAAUCAAGCUUUAGCCCCGAAUUAUGAUUGUAUUCAACCACACCAACACCUUCAACACUAAUGAUGUACAGUCAGUACUACGAGGACAAUUCCAAUAAAAACCGCGGAAUCGAUUUGAUUUUUGAUUUUUCAGGGUGAAUACAUGGUUGGGUAAUGGUAAUAUACAUUAUGAAUCUCAAGUUGACGCUAAUUGGGCCCCAUUCUCGAUUGAACAGAUAGGUUCUGGUAAUUUGGAAGCUGUCUUCUUGCGUCAGUUACCAUCUUUUGAGCUCCCUGACAUGAGACACAAUUUGAGUCGGCGGGGAUCAAUGGGAACAAAGAUGAACAACAUGUCAGCCCAAACCAUCAACCCCAACCAACCCAACCAAUCCAGCUCUGCCAAAGCGGCACAGAUGCCCGAACUGUUUAUUAAUAUGAUCAUGCAAAUUUUUGUCUCACUCUCUUUUGCCAAAGCUCCUGAAACGUUCAAUGAGGUCAUGAGGUUCAAAAAAUACCCAACUGGAGUGCACUUCAUUAUGAAUAUAGUACAGAGUGCGUUAC